UAUCAUUUUAAUUAACUUUUAGUAUCAUCGAAGAAAUAUUAAUUUAAAAGUCAUGAAACGAUUGAUUGAAAUAAGAAAAAUGUUUUACAGUGUGUGUAAAUUUUCAAGAGAAACUAUUACAAACAAAAGUGACAAGACAUUGAAGUAGUGUUGGCUGUAUAAUACAUUCGAGCAUGAUUCAAUGAUUAUUGUAUUUCUAUUUUAAACUUCUGAACUUUUUCAUCUAAUCCAUCAAUGGUAUUUUGUAACCAUUGCUACUAAGAAGAACACCAAGGAUUCUUUACACUUGUAUCCAAGCAUUGAAUUUGUUUCAUCUAAUCUUUUCAUGUUGAAACGUCGACGAAGCAACGCAGUCAUUCGUAAAGUUUCUUCGAUUUCUUGGAACAUCGAUUGUCGGAUCGUCGCCAUUAUUUCAACCGACUGCAACAUCUGAAAUGAAAAAUAUCGUCCAUUGAUUUAUUCGUGGAAAUAUAUUCACUUAAAAUAUAGAAUAUUGUGUGAAGAAUUUUGAACAUUUUCGAUUAUUAUUAACAAAUAAAUAAAUGGUGGAAGGAAUUUAUUUUUACUAAAAAAAAAAAGAAAAUAAAACAAAAUAAAAAGAAACUUGAAAAUUGUGUUUAUGAGAGAUUAAAUAAUUGAAGACAUUGGAAAAAAUCUUCAAAUGAGAAUUAAUUUCGAAUAGGAUGGUAUGUGAAAUUAGAAUUAGAUGCAAAGACAAUCGGAUUAGAAUCUAAAUGAUUCUCUUUUUUCUUUUUUUUUUAUUUUUUCCAUUUUAAUUUUUUGUACGAUUAUAGUAACAUCAAUUUAAGCCGAUCAUUAUUUCAUUUAACGCAUAUUUUUUAGAAUUAGGAAUAACGAAAUUAAGCUUGACAUUAGAGCUUAAAACGAGCUCUAUUAUAUUAUUUUUGAAUACUCGUUUUAAUUCGUACGACAUUAUAAUGUCACUAUAUUAUUUUUAAACAAAAAUUAUUGCGAGAAUUUCGAAUAGUUUCACAUUCAUUAGAAUCAGUUUCUAAGGAGAUUAGGCUUAUUACAUACGCUUUAAUUCGGACGACUAUAGUUUACGGAUAUCGUAACUGAACAUCGUUAAAUAUUAUUUUUAACAAAAAUUAAGAUGGGAAUUUCAAAUUAACACAUAUUAUUUACAAUUAAAAUUAAAGUAAUUAGAAUUAAAAUUUAUACUUUAAUGAUUUCCAUCAUAUUUCUUUCAAAUUUUUAUUUUAAUUCGUAUGACACGAACGAUGUCAUUAUUUGACACGUAUUAUUUUUAAAAUUAAGGUGGGAAUUUCAAAUAGUUUUAUCAAUAGUAA